GUUAAAAAAAAAAAAAAAAAUAAACAAAUAAAAAGCAAAUAAAAAGCAAAUAAAAAACAAAUAAAAAACAAAUAAAAAACAAAUAAAAAACAAAUAAAUAUAUAAAAAUCCUAUUUCAAGUAUUUUAUAUAUAAGCAUUAAAAAAAUAAAUAAAAAAAAAAAAAAAGCGACGUUUAUAAUAUAUAUAUAUAUAUAUAUAUUUUUUUUAAUAUUUAUGGAAAAGUUAUUAAAUAUGAACUUUGUGGGUACAUAAGCGACGCAUAAUUUAAAGAAAAGAAGUAAAGGAAAACAAAAAUAUAUUUACAUAUGUAUUUAUUUACUCCAUACAAAGUUUUUUUUUUUUUAAUUUAAUAAAUUUUUACAGAAAUAUACAGGUUGAUGUGAACAUAGAACAUUUUAUUUUUAUUUUUAUUUUUUGUUUGUGUGCUGAUUGUACAUCAUUUAGUAACUAGCUCAUUUUUUUAUAAAAACGGUCACUUAUUUAUUUUUAUUAUUUUUUUUUUUUUUUAUGAGGGAUUAAAGUGAGAAUAAAAACAUAAUGGUAUAUAUAUUAUGAAUGCUCAUAUAAAUUUAAGCACGUAUAUACAUAAAUAAUGUUCUUUGUUAAUGGUCACCUUUAAAAAAAAAAAAAAAAAAUAUAUAAAUAUAUAUCCAUAGAAAUUAUAUAUAUAUAUAUAUAUAUUUCGUAUUUUUUUUUUACAUAAUGUUUAAAUAAAAAUAUAUUAACAAUUUUUUUAUUUUAAAAAAAAGAGUCAAAAAUUAAUCAUUUAAUAUAUAUAAACAUAUAAUUAUAUAUAUAUAAAAUUUUAAGCGAAGAAAUAUAUAACUCGUCGAAGUACAUUAACAUAUUUAUAUAAACAACACUUUAUCAUUAAAUACAACGUUAAAAAAGGAAUAGUUCAAAAUGGCAAAAUCAAAGAAUCACACAAAUCAUAACCAAAACAGGAAGGCUCAUAAGAAUGGUAUUAAGAAACCCAAAGUCCACAAAUUCAUGUCUCGUAAGGGGGUAUGUAUAAAAAAUUAAUUUGUUAUUGAUUCAUUUACUAAUUUUUAU
rnacentral:lncRNA from 1 species